GGUGGGCAUGGCUUGUGUCUGCUCUGGAAUCAGCCCCUCCCUUCAGUGUGUGUUCCGUUAAGUUUCCGUUAAGAGGAACCAACUGUCUCUCCUUGUUUCUUGCCUCAGACUUGCCUCAUGUUGUGCAGCGGGAAUGGCUGUCCAGAUUUCAUUGCACCUAUAUACUAUUCAACGCAAGGAGGAAUAUAUGGAUUUGAUGCUGAUCUCAGGCCAAAUGCUUCCCGAGGCUGUAACUGAUAAAAUUGCUAAGAUAUUAACAAUACAGUCGUCUCCAGGGGAAUUGUGAUAUUAUUACUUCUUCCUCUUUUCUUUUUUGCACUCCCAGUGAGUGGUCCUUCAAUAUGAUGGCAGUGAUGCUUCUGUCAACAUUCGCACAGCAAGUUAACACUUGUGGCUACCAAAAAGAGAUUAGUGGGAAGGUUGGAGGCCAUGGAGGGACUGCGAGAUUAGCAAUAAUACAGUGUUAACAAGGGGGCUGUAACUGAACCUGGCGUGCUGGCACAAUGCACAGAAAUGGACUUCCAAUUCAGACAAUUAUCCCAGCCCUUCCCAAACAAUCUUUGUGUAGCUCGCAUGGCUCCUUCCGUCUCCAAUGGCAUCUAAACAGGUCUUUAGCUUUGAUCCAGAGAACAUAAAGCCUUUUAAGAAAGUCCAUCCAUCUUUUAUUUCUUGUGACACCAGCACAUUAGAUCUGCCUGUGUCCAAGAGAACUAUAUUAAAAUGGUUGUCUUCCUGCAUUUCUCACUGCCGUUCCCUGUAGAAUUGUCACUUGAGGGUCAAAUUGGAACUCAUUCAACCAGAUCUGUGGCAGUGACAGCAUCCAGCCUCAGGUCAGCUCUUACUCCAGAGGUUUACAAGGCAGCCACUUAGAGUUCAAGGUACAGGCUUACGAAUCUACAUUGCUGGUUUGUGCUGUGCAGCGUCGCUUGCAGGAUCCUUAAUUCAGCUUUGCUCACAUCCUUGAUGCUUUAUAUCGUCUGUAGCAACAAUAAAGCCACUUUCUUGACAUAUUCAAGCAUUUAUUUAUUUUUUGAUGCUAGAUAUAUUUUUUCUUUAAAAAAGCAAACACUAAGAUUGGAUAGAAGGGUUGGAAAAAUUUCCAGUCCUUAAGAACUGUAUCAUUUAAAUAACAUUCCUGGGGUAGAAUUAGCACAUCCUUUCUGCCGUUUUUCCCACCAGCUCUCUAAAGCAAAAAUGCAUUAUCAAGUACAAUGUGGGGCAGGCAGUCAAGUUAUUUUUUAAGGUGGUACCAGGAGACAAGUAAUGUGUUAUAGUGUGGGUGAUAUUUGUUCUUGGCAGUUGGGAAUUUGAACAUGUUGCUUUAGUUUAACUUCACUUUUGUUUGUUAGUUAUGUCCAGACUAGAGCCAGAAAAAUAUUUGCCUUGGCUCUAAUCAAGUUCUUUGGGUGCUUGUGGAAUUCUUAUGGAACAGGGUAAUCUUAUGAUACUUUUUUCUGAAUUAUAACUGAAAGCACUCAUCACUCCUGCACCUGAAAAAGUUGGUUUUCGUAGCAUGAAAUAUUAAAACUGUCCACACGCAAA